rnacentral:rRNA from 1 species
GACGAACGCUGGCGGCGUGCUUAACACAUGCAAGUCGAACGGAAAGGCCCUGCUUUUGUGGGGUGCUCGAGUGGCGAACGGGUGAGUAACACGUGAGUAACCUGCCCUUGACUUUGGGAUAACUUCAGGAAACUGGGGCUAAUACCGGAAAGGAGCUCCUGCUGCAUGGUGGGGGUUGGAAAGUUUCGGCGGUUGGGGAUGGACUCGCGGCUUAUCAGCUUGUUGGUGGGGUAGUGGCUUACCAAGGCUUUGACGGGUAGCCGGCCUGAGAGGGUGACCGGCCACAUUGGGACUGAGAUACGGCCCAGACUCCUACGGGAGGCAGCAGUGGGGAAUAUGGCACAAUGGGCGGAAGCCUGAUGCAGCAACGCCGCGUGCGGGAUGACGGCCUUCGGGUUGUAAACCGCUUUCGCCUGUGACGAAGCGUGAGUGACGGUAAUGGGUAAAGAAGCACCGGCUAACUACGUA